AUUGAACGCUGGCGGCAGGCUUAACACAUGCAAGUCGAACGAGUGGCGGACGGGUGAGUAAUGUCUGGGAAACUGCCCGAUGGAGGGGGAUAACUCCUGGAAACGGUAGCUAAUACCGCAUACCAUCGGAUCUGCCCAGAUGGGAUUAGCUAGUAGGUGGGGUAAGGGCUCACCAAGGCGACGAUCCACAGCUGGUCUGAGAGGAUGACCAGCCACACUGGAACUGAGACACGGCCCAGACUCCUACGGGAGGCAGCAGUGGGGAAUUUUGGACAAUGGGCGCAAGCCUGAUCCAGCCAUGCCGCGUGUAUGAAGAAGGCCUUCGGGUUGUAAAGUACUUUCAGCGGGGAAGCGGUACUCGCAGAAGAAGCACCGGCUAACUCCGUGCCAGCAGCCGCGGUAAUAC
rnacentral:rRNA from 1 species